CCCUGUGCUGCACCCGGAAGCCCCAUGAGAAGCCUUUUCCCGGCCCGGCGGCAGGAACGGGCUUGGGGGUCCCGACCGGGAAGGCUGCACGUGGUCGCCCCCUGGGGUCGGAGCGGCUGGGGGUUGAGAACGAGGGCUCUCCCGGGCUCCACCUGGCUUGCAGAGCAUGGCAGGUGCAGCUCUCAGCACCUUGCGCCCCACCUAACGGUGCACCCCGGAGAUGCUCCACGCCCCAGACCCCCCCGGCCUGUCCCGGCGGGCGGACCGUGGCCAGUCGGGGCGUCCCCCGGCAUGGCUGUCAGAGAGCGGCGCUGCAGGGAAGGGCCCACACCGUCCGACCUGCACUCAGGUGUGUCUGCGGGAGAGGCUCCCCAGGUGAUGCUGCUGGUCAAAGGGUCAGUGCUGUGACCUGACCUGUCGGCUGACCGCACGCAGUGCCACCGGCCCUGCCAGGGGGGUUCGAUCACUUCCUGCCCCCCCCACCGCCGAAAGUCGAGAGUGUUUCAGAGAAAGGCUUGAGGUGAGACUGUGUCCUCAGCAACAGGCGGCAAAGCCCUGGGGGGCAGACAGGCUGCUGGGACUCUCCUGGCACCCCUGUCGCCAAGCCGGCCAAAGGGGAGGAGCUGGCCAAGCUCACUGCCCGUGGACUUCUGCUCACUGUCCUCCCAACGUGCCCCGAACCGCCUAACAACCCCUGCGGACACCACGCCCAGAGCCGGCGCUUCUCCCCACCACACGCGGGUCGGACACCAGCUGGGGGACGCUGAACAAGAUGCAGAACCACCUUCCCACCUGGUGAAGGGUGACACCCACAGACCCACGCGGCUGCGACCCGAGGACAAGGGUGGGAGCUGCAGACAAUGUCCUGAACGGGAAUCGAACACCGAGCCCUGGACGAGAGGCUGAGUGAGGAGCCGGAGGCCAGGAGGGCGGGGAGGGACCCGUUGGCAGAGCACGCAGAGUGUCGUCCAUGCUUCUGCGUCCCUUGUUGGAAAGUGACAACUUGUUCCAACUUGUCUGGUGCAUGAGGGGACAGUUUGGGCACAGUGCGCAGUCUGUAUCUGUUUACCUGCGAUUCCGGGCACGAGAACCGCCAGGUGACCUGCACCCCGCUGGGCGGAGCCACGCCGUGUAGGAACAUGCGUGUGUGCGUGCACACUCACGUGUUCCCCGGCUGCCCCAGCGUGUUGGCAUCCGCCCACAUCCGCAGCCGCCCCUCUGCAUUGACCCCCCCCCCCCACUUCCCGGUCGGUCACGGCUGUGACUGCUCCCACAGGCAGACUUUCCCGAGGCCUUGCAACACGCAGAAAACCAUCCUGCCAUUUCGGUUACGUUCCUGCCCUCUAAGAAACCGUGUCACGGACAGAGUUUCUGGGGUAGGUGAUGCUCCCGACCCGGUUUCC